AGGGAACGCUGGCGGUAGGCCUAACACAUGCAAGUCGAACGGCAGCACAGUAAGAGCUUGCUCUUACGGGUGGCGAGUGGCGGACGGGUGAGGAAUACAUCGGAAUCUACUUUUUCGUGGGGGAUAACGUAGGGAAACUUACGCUAAUACCGCAUACGACCUACGGGUGAAAUCAGGGGAUCUUCGGACCUUGCGCGAUUGAAUGAGCCGAUGUCGGAUUAGCUAGUUGGCGGGGUAAAGUCCCACCAAGGCGACGAUCCGUAGCUGGUCUGAGAGGAUGAUCAGCCACACUGGAACUGAGACACGGUCCAGACUCCUACGGGAGGCAGCAGUGGGGAAUAUUGGACAAUGGGCGCAAGCCUGAUCCAGCCAUACCGCGUGGGUGAAGAAGGCCUUCGGGUUGUAAAGCCCUUUUGUUGGGAAAGAAAAGCAGCAGGUUAAUACCCCGCUGUUCUGACGGUACCCAAAGAAUAAGCACCGGCUAACUUCGUG
rnacentral:rRNA from 1 species